GACGAACGCUGGCGGCGUGCCUAAUACAUGCAAGUCGAACGAGAGCAACCGGUGCUUGCACUGGUCAAUCUAGUGGCGAACGGGUGAGUAACACGUGGGUAACCUGCCCAUCAGAGGGGGAUAACAUCCGGAAACGGAUGCUAAAACCGCAUAGGUCUUCGAACCGCAUGGUUGAAGAGGGAAAGAAGCGCAAGCCUCUGCUGAAUGAAGGAACCGCGGUGCCUUAGCUAGUUGGUGAGGUAACGGCUCACCAAGGCCGUGAUGCAUAGCCGACCUGAGAGGGUGAUCGGCCACAUUGGGACUGAGACACGGCCCAAACUCCUACGGGAGGCAGCAGUAGGGAAUCUUCCGCAAUGGACGCAAGUCUGACGGAGCAACGCCGCGUGAGUGAAGAAGGUUUUCGGAUCGUAAAACUCUGUUGUUAGAGAAGAACAAGUGCUAGAGUAACUGUUAGCGCCUUGACGGUAUCUAACCAGAAAGCCACGGCUAACUACGUG
rnacentral:rRNA from 1 species